GGACGACAGAGAGAAUGUGAACAAAUCAAAGGACCAGUAACUGACGUCAGAUCAGUCCAGCCCAGAUAGRACCACAGGGAAGACCCCACACGGUUCCCUCACUCACCCACACGACGUGGAAACAGUCCAGCACCAGUCCGAUGACC